CCCCCCCCUUGCAGGCCCCUUUUCGUAAGGACUUCCAAGGUAAAACCUAUAGAAAAGCCUAUAGAAGCUGAUUCCAGUCCCUGAGAUUUCUCAGGGAAGGUCUCUGUCUGAGGCCUGUUUGGAGCUUUAGGUCAUCAUAUCCCAUGUGGCUCUUUGUUUCCCCGCAGGCUCAGGGAAAAAAGAAGGACAGUCCCCCUGAAGAAGAGCUCGUCCUGGAAGACCUGGAGGAAGAGGAGUUGCGGAGAUGAGGUGGUGGCGCAGCCUUGUCCCGCUGCCUCUCAGCAGGCGCCGCCCCAGGCCAAGGCCGUUUGCUGGGCCCAGCCGUGGAAGCAGCAGCCCCUGCCAGGCAGGGGCGCCGACUUAUAAAAAAUAUUGGGGGGGCCCAUACCGGGGUCCUGCCAUAUUGUCUCGAAGCGUCAAGGCGACGCGAGGUGGAGGAUUCCAGGCGCUUCUGCUCCAGUCCUUUUGAUGUCGCCGCGGCCGCAGCGCUGGCC